AUGAGGGAGUGGUGGGUCCAGGUGGGUCCGGGUGGGGCUUGCUGCUUACCCGCACAUCCCGCCCCCUCAGCUCUCACCUGAUCUUCAAUCAUGGAAGUCUUCAGACAAGUUUUUCACUUACAAGGGACUGCGUAUCUUCUACCAAGACUCUGUGGGUGUGGAUGGAAGUCAGGAGAUAGUUGUGGUUUUACACGUUUUCCAACAUCCAGCUACGAUUUGUACAAUAUUUGGGAAGGUCUGACCUUGAGGUUUCAUCGAGUGAUUGCCCUUGAUUUCUUUAGGCGUUGGCUUCAGUGACAAACCGAGACCACAUCACUAGUCCAUAUUUGAGCAGGUCAGCAUCGUGGAAGCACUUUUGCGGCAUCUGGGGCUCCAGAACCACAGGAUCAAGUCUCAUGACUAUGGAGAUAAUUGUUGCUCAGGAGCUUCUCUACAGGUACAGGCAGAAUCGAUCUGGUCGGCAUACCAUAUAGAGUCUGUCUGUCAAAUGGAGGUAUCUUCCCUGAGACUCGCCGUCCUCUCCUUCUCCAACAGCUACUCAAAGAUAGAGGUGUGCUAUCACCCAUCCUCACACAACUGAUGAACUUCUUUGUAUUCUCUCGAGGUCUCACCGCAGUCUUUGGGCUGUAUACUUGGCCCUCUGAGAGUGAGCUGUGGGACACGUGGGCAGGGAUCCGCAACAAUGACGGGAACUUAGCCAUUGAUGGUCUCUUACAGUACAUCAAUCAGAGGAAGAAGUUCAGAAGGCGCUGGGUGGGAGCUCUUGCCUCUGUAACUAUCCCUAUUCAUUUUAUCUAUGGGCCAUUGGAUCCUGUAAAUCUCUAUGCAGAGUUUUUGGAGCUGUACGGGAAAACGCUGCCGUGGUCCGCAGUGUCGAUUCUGGAUGACCACCACAUAAGCCACUAUCCACAGCUAGAGGAUGCCAUUGGCUCCCUGAAUGCAUAUAUGGGCUUCAUCACCUCCUUCUGAACUGGAAUGAGUAGCUUCCCUGUAUUACCUUCUCUACUCCCUUAUCUGUUGUGUAUUCCACUUAGGAAGAAUGCCCAAAAGAGGUCCUGGCCAUCAAACACUAUUCUCUCACAAAGUCCACUUUACUCAAAUUGGUGAACAGUGUAUAGGAAGAAGCCAGCAGGAGCUCUAAGGUUGACAUAAUCCACCUCCCAUUACUUUGACAACUGAUCGAAUGUAUGGACCUGGCUUUGUUUUUGUGUUAUUAGGAAUUUCUGAUGAGCAUUACUAUUCACUGAUUCAGAAAGACGUUCUUUUGUGUGGAAGACUUUUCUUUAACUCUUUGGACUUCUCUGAAAUACUUAGAAAUGCUCAUUUCUGGCCCAGCCCCAGUAGGAAUUCUAUAGUAAGAAUAAGGAGAAGUGGACCUCCUUCCCUCUCCUUGAAUGGCUUUAUGGGCACACUCUUUUGAACAGUUCUUUAAGCAACACAGAGCUGAGUCCUCUUUGUCAUACCUUUGGAUUUAGUUUCAUCAGCUGUUUUUAGUUAUAAACAUUUUGUUAAAAUAGAUAUUAGUUUAAAUAAUAUAGUAUUCUAAGCAUGAUUUAAGAUUAUGAUUUACCUACACAUUAUAUAUAUAUUAUAAAGAUACUAAACCAGCAUACCCUUACUCUGCCAGAGUAGUGAACCUAAUUAAACAUGUUUGAUUUCUGAAUAAAUUAAACUAAAUCCAAACUAUUUCCUAAAAUCACAGAACAUUAAGGGCCAAUAGCAUCCGUGUCAGAGAUUUACUGUUACUAGAUGGGGAGACCAAUUCUAACAGCAAAUAACAGUCUGAGACUCCUCAUACCUCUGUGCUUAGAAACAUAUCUCUCUUGAGCUACUCUAGAGGGGAAGGGAUUCUUGUGCAGUCCAAGUCACUGUGCUGAAUGUACAUUGAUUCCUUUAUGACAACUGCUUAACUCCCCAUUGCCUGUCCCAGAGAGGCUUUCCAAUGUAGCUCAGUAUUUCCUGUACUUUACAGACAGGAAAGUUCCAGAAACUUUAAGAACAAAUUCUGAAAGACCUAUGAGCAAAUGAUGCUGAAUACUUUUUUUUUAAGCCACAUUUCAUUGUCUUAGUCAAAGCAUGAUUAUUAAGUGAUUAUUUAAAAUUCUUUUUUUUAAAUUAGCAACUUCAAGUACAACAAUUUUGAAACUGGAAUAAGUGUUUAUUUCCUAUUAAUACAAAUUGUGACAAAAAAAGAAAUAGAAUCAAGACCUUGCUCAUUGAUAUAAUGGGAAGAAAGAUAGGGAUCUAGUAGGAAUCUAAUGGUUUAUACCUGCAAGACUGAUGGGACCCUCAGCAGAAAUUUGGAAACAGGAGGAAAAUAACUUGAUGGAGGUGGGUGAGGACUGUGGAAAGAAUGGGACACUUCAGAGGGAGAAUGUUUAGCUGUUAAGUUUAAGCCAUGUAAAGUUGUAAGUUCUGGAAGGAAUGUGCAAGUAAGGAUAUCCAAAGGAGAUAGAAAGUUAGAGAUGGAGUUCACUCACAGAAGUGGUCAAAUAUGGAAAUAAGGAUUUUGAAGUCACUAACAUAGAAGUAAUAUUUAAAUCUAUAGGCCUAGAUGAGACUGCAAAUUUCAUACCAUUAGAUUGACCUUCCCAUAUUCUUGAGUCAAUAGAAAGAAUGUUGAUCUAAUUUUACUGGCUUCACAUUUCUGGGAAAAAAAAUAAACUACUACUAAUAAAUAUAAUUCAGGUAAGAAUUUGAAAAGUUCUUCAGGAAGAAGGAACACUACUCUUUAAGGAUGAAAUUGGUGAUAGUUGUGAAUUUUGAAUCUUUCAGGAGUCUUAUGUUAACAUAUCCUACAGUUUUUAUAUCUCAUUCCUGGAAGUUCACCAUGUAAAAAUAUAAGUGAAAACUUGACUUACAGUGGAACAAUUAAGAAGCACAUACUUAAAGAUGAUCUUCUGAAAGGCAUUAUAAGAGUUUUGCAAUUUUUAAAGAGAGGUUUCUAUUCUCUUUGCCUUAACAUGCUCAGACGUGAAUUUUUAGUAAAGAAUUAAUGAAUGAAAUCCUUUAUGAAGGUUUUCAAGUGCAGUUUUUGAACAAAGUUUCCAGCUUGCAGAUAUAUUGCUUUUUUACUAUCUAUACAGGUAAAUUUGAACUAAUUCAUUAUACCAGUGGUUCCCAGCCUUUUUGGCACCAGAGUCCAGUUUGGUGGAAGACAGAUUUUUCCAGAGACCAGGGUUGGGGGUGGUUUUGGGAUGAUUCAAGUGCAUUACAUUUAUUGUGCACUUCGUGUCUAUUAUCAUUAUAUUGCAAUACAUAAUGAAAUAAUUAUACAACUCACCAUAACAC